rnacentral:rRNA from 1 species
GAGUUUGAUCCUGGCUCAGAACGAACGCUGGCGGCGUGCUUAACACAGCAAGUCGAACGCGAACGGUUCCUUCGGGGACCAAGUAGAGUGGCGCACGGGAGCGUAACACGUGAGGAACCUGCCUCGGAGUGGGGAAUAACACCGAGAAAUCGGUGCUAAUUCCGCAUGAUGCAGCGGCCCCGCAUGGGGACAGUUGUUAAAGACCGCCUCUGCUUGCAAGCGGUCGCUUCGAGAUGGCCUCGCGGCCUAUCAGCUAGUUGGUGAGGUAAUGGCUCACCAAGGCGACGACGGGUAGCCGGCCUGAGAGGGUGUCCGGCCUCAUUGGGACUGAGACACGGCCCAGACUCCUACGGGAGGCAGCAGUGAGGAAUCUUGCGCAAUGGGCGAAAGCCUGACGCAGCGACGCCGCGUGAGGGAUGAAGGCCUUCGGGUUGUAAACCUCUGUCAGGGGGGAAGAACCCCCGGACGGUGAAUAACCGGCCGGGCUGACGGUACCCCCAGAGGAAGCACCGGCUAACUCCGUGCCAGCAGCCGCGGUAAUAC